rnacentral:rRNA from 1 species
UACAGAGGGUGCUAGCGUUGUUCGGAAUCAUUGGGCGUAAAGGGCGUGUAGGCGGUUUGUUAAGUCAUGUGUGAAAUCCCUCGGCUCAACCGGGGAACGACGCAUGAAACUGGCAGCUAGAGUACCAAAGAGGGGGGUGGAAUUCCCGGGUGUAGCGGUGAAAUGCGUAGAUAUCGGGAGGAACACCUGUGGCGAAGGCGGCCCCCUGGUUGGAUACUGACGCUGAGACGCGAAAGCGUGGGGAGCAAACAGGG